UGCAGUCGAGCGAAUGAUGAAGAAGCUUGCUUCUUCUGAUUUAGCGGCGGACGGGUGAGUAACACGUGGGCAACCUGCCCUGUAGAUUGGGAUAACUCCGGGAAACCGGGGCUAAUACCGAAUAAUCCAUUUCCUCUCAUGGGGAAAUGUUAAAAGACGGUCUCGGCUGUCACUACAGGAUGGGCCCGCGGCGCAUUAGCUAGUUGGUGAGGUAACGGCUCACCAAGGCGACCAUGCGUAGCCGACCUGAGAGGGUGAUCGGCCACACUGGGACUGAGACACGGCCCAGACUCCUACGGGAGGCAGCAGUAGGGAAUCUUCCACAAUGGACGAAAGUCUGAUGGAGCAAUGCCGCGUGAGUGAAGAAGGUUUUCGGAUCGUAAAACUCUGUUGUGAGGGAAGAACAAGUACGAGAGUAACUGCUCGUACCUUGACCGUACCUCAUUAAAAAGCCACGGCUAACUACCUGCCAGCAGCCGCGGUAAUACCUAAGUGGCAAGCGUUGUCCGGAAUUAUUGGGCGUAAAGCGCGCGCAGGCGGUCCUUUAAGUCUGAUGUGAAAUCCCACGGCUCAACCGUGGAAGGUCAUUGGAAACUGGGGGACUUGAGUACAGAAGAAGAAAGCGGAAUUCCAAGUGUAGCGGUGAAAUGCGUAGAGAUUUGGAGGAACACCAGUGGCGAAGGCGGCUUUCUGGUCUGUAACUGACGCUGAAGCGCGAAAGCGUGGGGAGCAAAC
rnacentral:rRNA from 1 species